rnacentral:rRNA from 1 species
AACUAACGCUGGCGGCGUGCCUAACACAUGCAAGUCGUACGAGAAAGUCCCGUUCGCGGGAUGAGUAAAGUGGCGCACGGGUGAGUAAUGCGUGGAUAAUCUGCCCUUUAGUUGGGAAUAACGUGCCGAAAGGUGCGCUAAUACCCGAUAAUACUGCACAACUACUGUUGUGUAGUCAAAGAAGGCCUCUGUUUACAAGCUUUUGCUGAAGGAUGAGUCCGCGUACCAUUAGCUGGUUGGUGGGGUAAUGGCCUACCAAGGCUACGAUGGUUAGCUGGUCUGAGAGGAUGAUCAGCCACACUGGAACUGAGACACGGUCCAGACUCCUACGGGAGGCAGCAGUGAGGAAUAUUGCGCAAUGGGGGCAACCCUGACGCAGCAACGCCGCGUGAGUGAGGAAGGUUUUCGGACCGUAAAGCUCUGUCGAGCGGGAAGAAAUGCAUGGUGGCUAAUAUCCAUCAUGCUUGACGGUACCGCUAAAGG